CUGAGACACGGGCCAGACUCCUACGGGAGGCAGCAGUAAGGAAUAUUGGGCAAUGGGCGCAAGCCUGAACCAGCCAUGCCGCGUGCGGGAAGACGGCCCUCUGGGUUGUAAACCGCUUUUCUUGGAGAGUAAAGCCGCAGUUGCUGCGGGGUGAACGUAUCCAAGGAAUAAGCACCGGCUAACUACGUGCCAGCAGCCGCGGUAAUACGUAGGGUGCAAGCGUUGUCCGGAUUUAUUGGGCGUAAAGAGCUCGUAGGCGGUGUGUCACGUCUGCUGUGAAAAUCCAAGGCUCAACCUUGGACCUGCAGUGGGUACGGGCACACUCGAGUGCGGUAGGGGAGAUUGGAAUUCCUGGUGUAGCGGUGGAAUGCGCAGAUAUCAGGAGGAACACCGAUGGCGAAGGCAGAUCUCUGGGCCGUAACUGACGCUGAGGAGCGAAAGCAUGGGGAGCGAACAGGAUUAGAUACCCUGGUAGUCCAUGC
rnacentral:rRNA from 14 species